UAAAAUUGCUUUUAGUAAAGUAACCGGCUAGAUCUAGACUUCUAGUGCCCCAUACUCUCUCAGAUCUCCAAAUUUAACAGUCAUCUUCAAAAUCAAAUGCUCCACAGUUUUUAGUAAAGUACCGAUCUGCAGGAAAAAGUCUUCGCACCAUGUUGGACGGACUCAACGCCCGACACCCAUUUUUUCUCUUCCCUCACCUUCACUCUCAUGCUCCACAGCUGCUACAGCUGCUUCACUCUCGCCGGUCCGGUGGCCGUGACUCUCGGCUCUGCCAUCAUCCGAUCUAAAAAAUCCGAUCUGUUUUCAACAUUAACUUCAAUAAGAUAGAAAAUUUGUUUCAAUCUCACCGCAUGUGACUCUUCAAUUUUGGUAUGGAUAACAUUAGAGUCGAUUUAUGCAUUUUGUGGAAUCAUAAUUUUGGGUCACUUUUUUUUCAAUCUCACUACAUUUUAUUUUUGCUUCAAAAUUCUGGUAAAUUUCACUACUGGUAAAUUUUGUUUCAAUUUUGGAAUCAGUCAAUUUUGUUUCAAUCUCGCUGCAUGUUAUUUUUGUCCAACAUUAAUUGCAGUGUUCGGUUAUUAACCGAAAUACCAAAUUUAUAAUUCGGUAAUUCGGUAUUCGGUUAUUACCAAAAUUCGGUUAUUAGUUCGGAUAUUAAAAAUAGGAAUAUUUUGGUUUUCGGUUAUAAUCGAAUAGUCUAUUCGGUUCGGUUAUAACCGAAUGAUCAGUCCUAAUUAAACCCACUACUACCUCAAUUGCAU
rnacentral:lncRNA from 1 species